rnacentral:rRNA from 1 species
GGGGGGCAUAACUGCCAGUCGAGCGAGCUUGCCUAGAUGAUUUUAGUGCUUGCACUAAAUGAAACUAGAUACAAGCGAGCGGCGGACGGGUGAGUAACACGUGGGUAACCUGCCCAAGAGACUGGGAUAACACCUGGAAACAGAUGCUAAUACCGGAUAACAACACUAGACGCAUGUCUAGAGUUUGAAAGAUGGUUCUGCUAUCACUCUUGGAUGGACCUGCGGUGCAUUAGCUAGUUGGUAAGGUAACGGCUUACCAAGGCAAUGAUGCAUAGCCGAGUUGAGAGACUGAUCGGCCACAUUGGGACUGAGACACGGCCCAAACUCCUACGGGAGGCAGCAGUAGGGAAUCUUCCACAAUGGACGAAAGUCUGAUGGAGCAACGCCGCGUGAGUGAAGAAGGGUUUCGGCUCGUAAAGCUCUGUUGGUAGUGAAGAAAGAUAGAGGUAGUAACUGGCCUUUAUUUGACGGUAAUUACUUAGAAAGUCACGGCUAACUACGUGCCAGCAGCCGCGGUAAUACGUAGGUGGCAAGCGUUGUCCGGAUUUAUUGGGCGUAAAGCGAGUGCAGGCGGUUCAAUAAGUCUGAUGUGAAAGCCUUCGGCUCAACCGGAGAAUUGCAUCAGAAACUGUUGAACUUGAGUGCAGAAGAGGAGAGUGGAACUCCAUGUGUAGCGGUGGAAUGCGUAGAUAUAUGGAAGAACACCAGUGGCGAAGGCGGCUCUCUGGUCUGCAACUGACGCUGAGGCUC